AAGUCCAUGUCCUUGAAACUCCAAAAUCCCUUGAAACCACACUAUCUCAACAACAUUCACAGUAGAACCACCUUGAUGUGAAGUGCAAGCAAAGAUAAGACAACCCCACCUCCCAUGCGCCCCCAUCAAAACCAACAUUCUCAUUCAACUCCCUUUCCAAAUUACCACCAUGGAUCAAACCCAAGUGCUUAAUAAUGGUGGUGAGAGAGAGAAGGGUGGAGAGAGAAAGUACAUGAAGAAGAGAAAAAUGAUGAUGAAGAAGAAGAAGCCUAUGGUUCCAUUGGUGACAGUUGUUUACAAGGAAGAAUAAUGGGAAGGGUUUAAACAGAGAUACAAAUCAGAUACUACGUACCACUACUUGUAUAUCAUUUCACUGAGCCUCCACAGCCUCCUAUAUUCUAUCCCGAUCUGUGGUUAAAUUAUUAAACAUUAAAAUAAAAGGUUCAACACCAAAUAAAAAACACCAUCUCAAUCACAAGAAAAAAGUCUGCGAACACAAGGAUCGAAAAGAGUAUCACACUCAAGACAUUGAAAUCUACCAACAAGUGCUUUUACAAAAAGUGAUAAACCUUAACCUUAAAGACCAAGUUUUGAAAGAAGUUGACGCCAUCUUGGAGUUUCUUCAUCAAAAAUGUAGGUCAAAGGAGACACCAGAACACCACUUCCUCCAAUCUGUAUGUCAUAUCAAUAUCAUAUUAUAUAAUAAUCGUACUUUCACUGAUUUGUUUAUUAAUUAUUAUAGCAUCCUACUUUUAUUUCUUCCUACUUACAACAACACUACACCUUGAAAGAUAUUUCAAAGUACAAUGCCUUUAUAAGAAGAAGAAGAAAAAUGUUGUUAUAGGAAGAGAUGGAAGUAGGAUACUAUACUGAACAGAUAGAUGAAAGCAGAUAGAAAAAAAAAAGUAAAAAAGUUGUGAGGACAUCUUACAGCUCUUAGCUGCUGAACGGAUUUGUAGAGUUGCUUUUUGGAGACACAAAUGACAAUUGCGUAAUAAUCAGCUUUUACCUUCCCAUCAAUUUUGCGGAAAACUGGACUUACAGUAGGCCCCUGCCAUAUACACAUUGGGUAAUAAAAAUAUUUAAGCUUUAAUUUCUAUUUGUUAACUAUUAUUAUUUCACUUUUUGUAAAUACAACUAAAGAAAGAAUAUAAAAAAUAAAAAACAAACCUGAAGUCCAGAUAAUGAUGGUUGGCUCAGAAUUCGCUCGGAUACUUCCUCUGCACUGCUUCCCCUCAUGUUGGCAACUACCUGCAACGUGUAUAUCACAGUGGCAACAAGGGUAAAAUGGUCAUUUACUCUCUCUUUCUUCAAAGAAGACAAUGGCAAGAAAGGUAAAAUCUUCAUUCACCGUGAAUUGACCAAGUGCCCUUAAAUGUGCUUCAAAUCUUUCAAGAAUUUCAUGUGUGAUGUCCAAUAAACCUUUGCGCCCAAGUAGUGACUUCUUACUAGCAACAAGGACAGCCUAUAAAAAAACAUUUUUUACUCAGAAAAAAAGAAGCAGAUUUAUAUUUAUAGAUAAAUAAUUAAAUAAAAACUUCACCUGACUUUCUAGAAGAACUCCGCCUUCAAUUUCUUUGAGAUUGUUCUCUUUCAAUGUGAUCCCACUACUAACAAGAUCCACAAUAGCAUCAGCUAUCCCCAUCUAAAUAAGCAACACAAAUAAUUUUAUCAUUAUAAAUUUAUAACAUAAUACAAUGUAGCUGAAUAUAUAUAUAUAUAUAUAUAUAUAUAUAUAUAUAUAUAUAUUAACUCUACUCUACACUGUUAAAUAAUAAAAAGCUCUUAAUAACCCAUAUAAGACUGUAAUAAAAACAUAUAUUUUCUUGUUAGUUUUAUAAAAUAGAAUAUUACUUUUAUAAAAUUUGUGAAAUUUUUGAAAAUAAUUGUGUCAUCAAUGUCUUACCGCAGGAGCUGCUUCCAGUGCCCCAUCAGCAGUUGAAAAAACAACAUGCUGAAGCCCAUUCUCUCUCAGAAACUUAGGACCCAACUACAAGAAAAAGAAAAAAAAAACAAUUUAAACUUUUUUGAUUUGAUUGAUAAUAGGAACACAAAUUAUAAUAGAAUGGUUGUUAGAAUGAUUACAUAUGUGAAACCAGUGGCAACUCUUAGAGGCUUUUCAGCAGUCCAUUGAGUCAUCUGUGCUAGUUCCUUCACUGAAUUAAUUUUCUCAAAAAUCCCAUACUUUGGAAUCUGUUAACAGCAUGAGAAAAAUAAGCCACUUAAAUCUUUUUUUUUUAACUGUAACUAUUUUAAUUUACUUUGGAAAAAGAGAAGUACUACUUACUGCAAGAGAUAAACGACAAUCUCCAUAUGCAAGUUCAUCAUGAACAAGGAUUAGAUCUUCAUUUCCCUAUCAAAAACAAUUAAGAGAUAAAACUUUACACAUUAGAAUAUUCAAACAACAAGCCCAGUGAGCAUGCUAAAGAAGAAAACAGAAAAACUUAUACAUAAUAAUAAUAAUAAUAAUAUAAGCCUACAUGUCCAUAUAACGUAUCUGGAUUUAUUUCCUUUUUACCAUGUUAUCCUUAUGAGUUGGUAAUAAUUACAUUUAUACAUAAUUAAUAAACAUAUGACUUAGAAUUUUGAAAAAUGUUGAUAUUAAAAGGUAUCCUCCGUUGAGGGGAUAUACCUUCUGUUUUCGUGUGAAAUUGUUGAUUUUAAUGUAAACUUUGUUUUCAGUUUUCAACUAUGAAACCUUUUGGAUUUCAUAUUGAAGAUUACUUCUUCAAGUAUUGUUGUUUUUGGGUUCACCUUUUCAGAAACAGAUUCAGAUAAUAUCCAGUAAACUGAAUUUAGUUGUCAAAUAUCUAAAAUCCAAUCGUAUUGCAACUGGAAUUGGGAUAUUGUGUUGCUAAUCAAAUUUGGCUCAUAUUGGGUAUUAUAAGCACAAAUAAGAAAGCCUAAUAAACAUGAGAGUUGCAUGAUACAUCAAAGUAAUCAAGAACAAGUCACCAGAUUUUCAAAGUAGAUUAUCCACCCAAUGGUGGAUAAAUACUGUUGGGUGACUCAUGAAAUAACAGUCUUACUUCUGUGUCUAGAAAAUCCAGGACAAGAUGCAUAACUUCUGCUUGAUGAAAUUGGUUGCAUUAUCAGCAAAAUAGGAACAAGGAUUACAUGCAAUUUUACCCAAUUUGUACUACACGCAUCCUUACUUUCGCAUAAUUAUUAGUAUUAUAUUACAAAACCACAAAUUUGGCACUCAAAUGUUUUGAGAAACAUCUGAGUUGCGUAGCUGGAAAACAUAAUAGUGCUGUGUACAAAAGAAACUAAGGAUAGUGAUGCUGUAUGAAUUGAACAGAGAAUGCUCUUAUCAAACUAGGUAAUGAGCUAUAACUAUACAGUAUAAUCUUCAUAUGGGGCUUCUUGAUUCUUACCUGUCCAAAUUCACUAACUGUGUCAAGACCAACAAUACCAAGAUCUAAAUCUCCUGAAACCAGUUUCCGUACGAUGUCUUUUGGGCGCUGAAACCAGACUUCUACAUUUGAAAGCUGCAAUACAGACAUAAUUCAAAUCCUAUCUGUUUCUGAACGGAGAUAGCCGAAGCUGUUUAGCAGAAACUACCAAAAUUGGUCGGAAAAACGCACCUGAGGAAUGUCUGCAACGUAUUGCCGAGGAUUAAGUUGCCUCACAGAUAAUUGACAAUCCUAUCAAACAUAAUGUAAAAAUCAGAUGAUAAAAUAAACACUGAAAUCAAAUCUUGGAAGAAAUUAAAUCAAUUGAAAUUAUUCCUUGUCUCAGGAAUCACGGAUAGAAAGAGUUACUUUGAGAAGAUCAAGCGUAUCGGUGGCCAUUCGACCUUUACUCGGCAAACCUAAUCUAAUCUCAUUCCUAUCUGAGGAUUGCAUGUCGAUGUUUCCAUUAACACUAGUCAUCGGCGACGAGGAUAAGCAACAUGAUACGGUGAAUCUGACGGAAAGUUUAGUAGACGAAUGUGAUGAUGGAGAAGGAAGAAACUGUGAGAAAGCGGUGGUGGCGGCGGGACAUUGCUGCAGAGAUGUUUGAAUAAGAGACAUGGCCGCUUCCCUCUGACCUCUCUUUCUUCUUCCGACGGGAUUUUGAUGGAGCAGAGACAACAGCAACGCCGCCGGAAGGGGUAGGUGGUGAGU